GAUGAACGCUGGCGGCGUGCCUAAUACAUGCAAGUCGAGCGAACAGAUGAGGAGCUUGCUCCUCUGACGUUAGCGGCGGACGGGUGAGUAACACGUGGAUAACCUACCUAUAAGACUGGGAUAACUUCGGGAAACCGGAGCUAAUACCGGAUAAUAUAUUGAACCGCAUGGUUCAAUAGUGAAAGACGGUUUUGCUGUCACUUAAAGAUGGAUCCGCGCCGCAUUAGCUAGUUGGUAAGGUAACGGCUUACCAAGGCAACGAUGCGUAGCCGACCUGAGAGGGUGAUCGGCCACACUGGAACUAAGACACGGUCCAGACUCCUACGGGAGGCAGCAGUAGGGAAUCUUCCGCAAUGGGCGAAAGCCUGACGGAGCAACGCCGCGUGAGUGAUGAAGGUCUUCGGAUCGUAAAACUCUGUUAUUAGGGAAGAACAAAUGUGUAAGUAACUAUGCACGUCUUGACGGUACCUAAUCAGAAAGCCACGGCUAACUACGUG
rnacentral:rRNA from 1 species